GUGCCAGGUGCUGUCCUAAGAAAUUUACAUACAUUAACUCAUGUCAUCCUCACCAUGACCUUUUCACAACUGAGGAGACUAAAGCACAGCUAAGGAGACUCAAGUCAUGCUGGCAUGACUUGAAUGCAGUAAAACACGUAGCAUCAUAUUGGUAAGUGCUAAUUAUUAUUAUUAAUUAUUGCUAUUAUUAGUAUUUUGUACUGUGGCUGCCAUGAAAUGGUGACACUCAGACCCCUUGCUUCAGGGAGAGUGAUGGAGAGUAGCUGGCUGAUUACCCCAGCUGCCAAACUCUAAGUUCACAUCCACAUUCUCACCAUGUUACUCUGCUUGACCCAAGGCCAUGCUUCCUGUGGGCUGCUCCAGGCCAUUGAUGGAGCGUGGUAUGGAUGCCAACACAAGCUCAUUCAUUGAGAGCUAGGACUCCUCCAGCAGCGACUUUAGCUCAAAGACUUCCCAUCAGCCUGGCAGCAGCUCCUGGGAAUUGUGCUACAGCCUGCGACUUUCUCCUACCUUGU
rnacentral:lncRNA from 1 species